rnacentral:lncRNA from 10 species
UUCAAAUGUUCAUAGAUGGCUUGGGGCUUGCAGGGACAGAUCUUCCAGUGUCACCAGGAGCCUCUGGGAUAGGCGGGAAACGCUUCCUACAGGGGGUGGGGCGGGGGGCGCAUUUGAGCUCCAUGUGGGGAAGGCCCAGGGCAACUCUAAGCUGAGUGCAGAGUCCCAGGUCCCGAAAAUAGUGAGGCUUCCAGGUCACGAGGUUACACCAGCAUCCAUGACGUCAGCAGGCCAGCGGCGGGCCCUUAGCCAUGGAGGUUCAGAUCGUGUGGGUUGUGGGUCCCACGGUCCCAGAGUCAGCCGGGCGCCCAUUGGCUUGGCCUCAGGAUGCCCAGGGACAUGCCUGGUGCAGCUGGGGCAGCAGGAGCUCACUCUACCAUGAAAUAUUCAUGGCUGCUGGCAAAGCCCGGCCCUAAAAUAUAGUUUGCAGAAGAAAAAGAGCCAUCAGGCAUUUAAUCAUUGUGUUAAUGAGGCUCUAUUUGGAAGCAAACUCCAUCUGACUGCGUCCUAGACAGCAAGAGUCAGGGCCCGGCCAACCUGUGUUGCCGGCCGCAGGGGCAGCCUCAUCCCUGAGACACCAGUGGGAGACACGCCCGGGCAAGGCACAGGCUUGGCUCGAGGCCAUGGCCAGCGGCCCUCCACUUCAGGGGAGCCCAUGAGAUUAUAACGGCAUCCUGAGGUUUGCCAAAAAGCAUCCUUUUAAGCAGAAAGCAAGCAACGGCCCUGCAUGGAGGCGCCACAGAUCCAGUCUGGCUGAGCAGGGGCUAGACCAACUCGUUUUCCCUAAGCAGCUUCCUCGGGGGAACCACUACCCCUCCUGCCUCCAGCUCCCCCUGCUGCCCAGGCCGCCGCCACAGACACUGCAAAUUACCAUCCAGACAAGAUUGCCGGGCCCUUUACAAAGCCUGAAGCAGCUCCUGCAGCCGCCGUCAGCGUCAGCAGCCGCCCUUCUUCGCCAGGUGUGCUGAUUGCAAGUCUCUCUGUGCGGCAGGAGGGGACGUCUCCAAAGGGCAGGCGUCCAGUGGCAGCACCGCAGGCCUGUGGGUGUUCCACCUGCAGAGGCCCCAGAGCAGCCCACGGAGGGCCACGGUGGUAUUAUUCCCAUUUCACAGGGAAGAAGCAAGGUCAGAGCUCUUCCCAGAUGGCUCACGCCAGGCCCAUGCUGCCCGCCCUUACCCGCUCCUCCCGUCCGGCGCUUGAGAGACGUGGUGUCUGGAAAGUCUGUCCCAUCCCAGGGGAGUCCCAGAAGGGCACAGCCACGCCCUCCGAUGCCACGCCUGCGCCCACAGAAGCCCCGCCUUCCUCCCAGCUGCAGCUUCCACAACACCCACUGAGACCCACGCCAACGCGCCCCGCCCACGAGAACCCAGGUCACUCCCGCUUGGUGACUGCGGAAGAACUUUCCGGGUGUCACGUUGGUCCAGUCCCAGGCUGUCCUUCUCUCAACUAAGUUUCCAUCUGGAUUCCAGCCCACCCCCAUGCACGGGACGCAGGAGCUCUGGGUGCCCACCACUCCAUGAAGGGUGAUUGUGGUGAUGUAUUUGACCUUCUGGCAGCAAUUUAAUCAAAUCUGGAAAUCUGGGCCGGCACCUGGUUCGGGACUCAUCCCCUGUUGCUAGGAAACCCAACUCCUGCGGAUCCCACCCUGCUCCAUCCGGAGACAGUGGGAGAGACCCUCCUGCAGCUGAGGCCAGGGCUGGGGAAUGGCUGGAGAUGGAUGGGGACAGCAGUGGCCUUUGCACUGGCUGACUUCACAGCAGAACUCCCACGAGUGCCGAGAAACAGCGUGUAGGGGCGCUGCUCUCCCUACAAGCCCUUCCAGGCGCUGCAGGUCACUUAGAAGCUUGUGGCGCAUCCCUCGGUACCUCUCUCUGCCUGCGCACCAUAAACACCCAGACUACAGGGCCAUACCUGUCUCUUCUUGGUCUCCCCAGCAUCCUGCAGAUUAGUGGCCCUUCAGACACUUUGCACCCCAGUAGGGGGUGGGGAGGCUGGUGGAAAGUGAGCCCUGUGGCUCCUGGAGAAGCGGCGAGCAGCAGGCAGUGUUACACAAGGGUCCUCCCAACCCAGCUGACCUCACCAGGUCAUUCAUGCAAGAAUGCGGGGCCAAUGGGUUUCUGCCAGGCGUGCCAGGGCUGAGGGCACCCCUGGGUCCUCACAGCCCCCACUGUCCAGGGACAGCAGAGUCCUCCUUCCCUUUGCCAUUUCCAUGUUUCUCAUUUCAAUAAUUCUUGCAGCCCAUGUUGUGUAAAUAAAAUUAUUCUUCCCAAAAAAAUCGUUAGCAGAGCCCGACAUUAAUUCCCCUGCAAUCUGUGUAAUUAACUGCAUGUAAUAUAGGGCAUUAAAGGACCGGUUUGCUAAUCACCACUCCUCCGCUCCACGCACCUAAUUAAAUCUCCUUCCUGUUUAUCCACUUACAGGAUCCUCUGCAAAGAUACCAGGCACCAGGAACACUGUUGUAAUAAAUCUUUGCGUAAUUUUAGAGGGUGCAGUCCCACUCUGUUUCAUUCCCACUGCUGAGCCCCUCCUCCCUGCAGCCACGUCUCCCCAUGACUCGGC